CACGUAGGAGGCGAGCGUUAUCCGGAUUCACUGGGCGUAAAGCGCGUGCAGGCGGUUUGGUAAGUUGGGCGUGAAAGCUCCCGGCUCAACUGGGAGAGGUCGUUCAAUACUACCGAACUAGAGAACAGAAGAGGAAGAUGGAAUUCCCGGUGUAGUGGUGAAAUGCGUAGAUAUCGGGAGGAACACCAGUGGCGAAGGCGAUCUUCUGGUCUGUUUCUGACGCUCAGACGCGACAGCUAGGGUAGUAAACGGG
rnacentral:rRNA from 1 species